UAGGGAAUCUUCCGCAAUGGACGCAAGUCUGACGGAGCAACGCCGCGUGUGUGAUGAAGGAUUUCGGUUCGUAAAGCACUGUUGUUAAGGAAGAAUAGUAGUAAGAGUAACUGUUUACUAAUUGACGGUACUUAACCAGAAAGCCACGGCUAACUACGUGCCAGCAGCCGCGGUAAUACGUAGGUGGCAAGCGUUAUCCGGAAUUAUUGGGCGUAAAGCGCGCGUAGGCGGCAAGAUUAGUCUGAUGUGAAAGCCCCCGGCUCAACCGGGGAGGGUCAUUGGAAACUGUCUUGCUUGAGUGCAGAAGAGGAGAGUGGAAUUCCAUGUGUAGCGGUGAAAUGCGCAGAGAUAUGGAGGAACACCAGUGGCGAAGGCGGCUCUCUGGUCUGCAACUGACGCUGAUGUGCGAAAGCGUGGGGAUCAAACAGGAUUAGAUACCCUGGUAGUCCACGCCGUAAACGAUGAGUGCUAAGUGUUAGGGGGUUUCCGCCCCUUAGUGCUGCAGCAAACGCAUUAAGCACUCCGCCUGGGGAGUACGAUCGCAAGAUUGA
rnacentral:rRNA from 1 species